CCUACGGGUGGCAGCAGUGAGGAAUAUUGGUCAAUGGACGAAAGUCUGAACCAGCCAUGUCGCGUGAGGGACGACUGCCCUAUGGGUUGUAAACCUCUUUUAUAAGGGAAGAAUAAAUGCUACGUGUAGCAUGAUGCCUGUACCUUAUGAAUAAGCAUCGGCUAACUCCGUGCCAGCAGCCGCGGUAAUACGGAGGAUGCGAGGUUUAUCCGGAUUUAUGGGGUUUAAAGGGUGCGUAGGCGGUUUUUUAUGUUCGUGGUUAAACGUCGGGGCUUCACCUUGAUUUGCCAUUAAUACUGUAAGACUCGAGUUCAGACGAGGUAGGCGGAAUAAGUUAAGUAGCGGUGAAAUGCUUAGAUAUAACUUAGAACUCCGAUAGCGAAGGCAGCUUACCAGACUGCGACUGACGCUGAAGCACGAGAGCGUGGGUAGCGAACAGGAUUAGAUACCCCAGUAGUC
rnacentral:rRNA from 1 species